GUUCUCUCUCUCUUGUUUCUCCGUUUCAUAGAUUCUCUCUGUUACUCCUCUUUUGCAAAACGCGAUUUUUUCGUGAAAGUAAAACGCGUUUCUAGAUCACUAGAUUUUUUCGCUAAAGUUUGUGUUUUUUUUUUUUGGAUUUGGUUGUGUGUGUGUGUGUGUUUUAUGGUGGUGAUUGUGGAUUUGGAAGAAUCUGUGCAAUGAAUGGAAAUGUUCAGAUUGGGGAAUGUAAGGAGACUGCAGUUUACAUGUCCGGUUACUUACCAGGAGCUUCUCCGGAGAAAUCCCCUAUUCUCUCUCCUGUUCCCGUGCGUUUACCUGCUGCUGUUCACGGUGGAGAUUCGUGGAAAGAUGUGUGUGGCGGUGGUUGUGGAUUCGCUAUGGCUAUUUCAGAGAAGGGGAAGCUUAUAACUUGGGGUUCUACUGAUGAUGAAGGACAGAGCUAUGUCGCUUCUGGAAAGCAUGGGGAAACUCCAGAGCCGUUUCCUCUUCCCACGGAGGCUCCUGUCGUUCAGGCUUCUUCAGGAUGGGCACAUUGUGCGGUUGUUACAGAGGCUGGUGAAGCAUUUACUUGGGGUUGGAAGGAAUGCAUUCCAUCAAAGGAUCCUGUUAGGAAACAGCAGAGUGGCUCGAGUGAGCAAGUGAGUCCAUCAUCACAAGGUUCAAAUGCAGCAAGUGGUAUGACACUGCAGAAUGAGAAUCGGAAGGGAGGGGAGGAAUUGGUGAAGCGGAGGCGGGUUUCAACUGCCAAAGAUGAAGCCGAAGGCCUUUCACUUGGAGAGGACUUCUUUGCUAUCACACCUUCACUUGUGAGUGUUGGCCUUGGAGUGAGGAUCACCAGUGUUGCUACUGGUGGUCGGCAUACUCUGGCGUUGUCAGAUAUAGGACAGAUUUGGGGUUGGGGAUAUGGAGGCGAAGGGCAAUUAGGAUUGGGUUCCCGGAUCAAAAUGGUCUCGUCUCCUCAUCUAAUUUCUUGCUUUGAAUCACCUGGAUCUGGAAAAGAAAGAUCUUUCAUAUUGCAUCAAGGAAUAACAACCACGUCUACUCAAGUUUCAAGAGAACCUGGUCGGCACAUAAAGGCUAUUUCUUGUGGAGGCCGCCAUAGCGCGGCAAUUACAGAUACUGGAGGGUUAAUAACUUUUGGAUGGGGACUCUAUGGACAGUGUGGCCAUGGAAACACAAAUGAUCAGUUAAGGCCCAUGGCUGUUUCAUCAGUGCAGAGUGUUCCGAUGGAAAGCGUAGCAGCUGGAUUGUGGCACACUAUUUGCAUCUCUAGUGAUGGUAAAGUGUAUGCCUUUGGUGGAAACCAAUUUGGUCAACUGGGAACUGGCACUGAUCAUGCUGAGGUGACAUCUCUUGUAAUCCAAAAUGAUACCGAGGUUGCUGGAUGGCCAGAAUUUGGAGGGUAAACAUGCAAAAGCAGUUAGUUGCGGCGCGCGGCAUAGUGUGGUUUUGGCAGAGGAUGGUCGGUUGCUAUGUUGGGGAUGGAACAAAUACGGGCAGCUGGGUCUAGGGGACACGAUUGACCGGAACAUUCCUACUCAAGUCCAGCUGGAGGGCUGCAGACUGAGGAAAGUGGCGUGUGGAUGGUGGCAUACAUUGCUACUAGCAGACUCACCCACUUGAGGUUUCCCAACCAGGCACCAGAUCCUCAAUAUUACAUUUUCGUGUUUUCGCCACUUUAGGUGCCUAUAGGUUUGACAGAAGCUGUACAUACAGGCUUUUUGCUAUAUAUACUUUCUUCUUCAGUCUUUCCCUGUCUUCAUGUUUUCCUUAGGGAGAGGGCUUUGACUUUGUAUUGUGUAACAUGGGGAAAUUGCAGAAGACUAGAAUAAAAUACUGAUUGGUAUGAAAGGAUCUUUAGGUUUCUUUAGAUUUGGUGUAAAAACGAUUGGAUUUUUAGAUUGGUAAAGAACAAUAAGUCAGUGUCCUGCUUUGUACA